rnacentral:misc_RNA from 1 species
AAAGUCGUAACAAGGUUUCCGUAGGUGAACCUGCGGAAGGAUCAUUACAGAGUUCAUGCCCUCACGGGUAGAUCUCCCACCCUUGAAUAACAUACCUUUGUUGCUUUGGCAGGCCGCACUCGUGCCAGAGGCUUCGGCUUCUGAGUGCCUGCCAGAGGACCCCACAACUCUUGUUUUUAGUGAUGUCUGAGUACUAUAUAAUAGUUAAAACUUUCAACAACGGAUCUCUUGGUUCUG